GUAGGUGGCAAGCGUUGUCCGGAAUUAUUGGGCGUAAAGCGCGCGCAGGCGGUUCUUUAAGCCUGAUGUGAAAGCCCACGGCUCAGCCGUGGAGGGUCAUUGGAAACUGGAGAACUUGAGUACAGAGGAGGAAAGCGGAAUUCCACGUGUAGCGGUGAAAUGCGUAGAGAUGUGGAGGAACACCAGUGGCGAAGGCGGCUUUCUGGUCUGUAACUGACGCUGAGGCGCGAAAGCGUGGGGGAGCAAACAGGAUUAGAUACCCUGGUAGUCCACGCCGUAAACGAUGAGUGCUAAGUGUUAGGGGGUUUCCGCCCCUUAGUGCUGCAGCUAACGCAUUAAGCACUCCGCCCUGGGAGUACGGCCGCAAGGCUG
rnacentral:rRNA from 1 species